CACGUAGGCGGAUUUGUAAGUCAGGGGUGAAAUCCCGAGGCUCAACCUCGGAACUGCCUUUGAUACUGCAAAUCUCGAGUCCGGAAGAGGUGAGUGGAAUUCCUAGUGUAGAGGUGAAAUUCGUAGAUAUUAGGAAGAACACCAGUGGCGAAGGCGGCUCACUGGUCCGGUACUGACGCUGAGGUGCGAAAGCGUGGGAAGCAAACA
rnacentral:rRNA from 1 species